rnacentral:rRNA from 1 species
GAUGAACGCUGGCGGCGUGCUUAACACAUGCAAGUCGAACGGAAAGGCCACAGCUUGCUGUGGUACUCGAGUGGCGAACGGGUGAGUAACACGUGGGUGAUCUGCCCUGUACUUCGGGAUAAGCUUGGGAAACUGGGUCUAAUACCGGAUAGGAAUCACAUGUGGGUGUGUGGUUGGAAAGCUUUUGCGGUAUGGGAUGAGCUCGCGGCCUAUCAGCUUGUUGGUGGGGUAAUGGCCUACCAAGGCGUCGACGGGUAGCCGGCCUGAGAGGGUGUACGGCCACAUUGGGACUGAGAUGCGGCCCAGACUCCUACGGGAGGCAGCAGUGGGGAAUAUUGCACAAUGGGCGCAAGCCUGAUGCAGCGACGCCGCGUGGGGGAUGACGGCCUUCGGGUUGUAAACUCCUUUCGUCAGGGACGAAGCGAAAGUGACGGUACCUGGAGAAGAAGCACCGGCUAACUACGUG